rnacentral:rRNA from 1 species
AUUCCAGCUCCAAUAGCGUAUAUUAUAGUUGUUGCAGUUAAAAAGCUCGUAGUUGGACUUCUGAUGUGGGGAUUCGGUCCACCGCAAGGUGAGCACUGAUGUCCUUGCGUCUUCCUCUCGUAGUUGUUUGGCGCACUUAGUUGGGUGCCAGAUGAAUAUGGGACCUUUACUUUGAAAAAAUUAGAGUGUUCAAAGCAGGCGAUCGCUUGAAUACAUUAGCAUGGAAUAAUAGAAUAGGACUUUGGUUCUAUUUUGUUGGUUUCUAGGACCGAAGUAAUGAUUAAUAGGGACAGUUGGGGGCAUUAGUAUUUAAUUGUCAGAGGUGAAAUUCUUGGAUUUAUGAAAGACUAACUACUGCGAAAGCAUUUGCCAAGGAUGUUUUCAUUA